rnacentral:rRNA from 1 species
UAGGGAAUCUUCCGCAAUGGACGCAAGUCUGACGGAGCAACGCCGCGUGAGUGAAGAAGGAUUUCGGUUCGUAAAACUCUGUUGUUAGAGAAGAACAGCGCAUAGAGUAACUGUUAUGCGUGUGACGGUAUCUAACCAGAAAGCCACGGCUAACUACGUGCCAGCAGCCGCGGUAAUACGUAGGUGGCAAGCGUUGUCCGGAUUUAUUGGGCGUAAAGCGAGCGCAGGCGGUCAAUUAAGUCUGAUGUGAAAGCCCCCGGCUCAACCGGGGAGGGUCAUUGGAAACUGGUUGACUUGAGUGCAGAAGAGGAGAGUGGAAUUCCAUGUGUAGCGGUGAAAUGCGCAGAGAUAUGGAGGAACACCAGUGGCGAAGGCGACUUUCUGGUCUGUAACUGACGCUGAGGCUCGAAAGCGUGGGGAGCGAACAGG